UAAGGAAUAUUGGUCAAUGGGCGCAAGCCUGAACCAGCCAUGCCGCGUGCAGGAAGACGGCCCUACGGGUUGUAAACUGCUUUUGCAGGGGAAUAAACCCUGGUAUGUAUACCAGGCUGAAUGUACUCUGAGAAUAAGGAUCGGCUAACUCCGUGCCAGUAGCCGCGGUAAUACGGAGGAUCCAAGCGUUAUCCGGAUUUAUUGGGUUUAAAGGGUGCGUAGGCGGCCAAUUAAGUCAGGGGUGAAAGACGGUAGCUUAACUAUCGCAGUGCCUUUGAUACUGAUUGGCUUGAAUACACUAGAGGUAGGCGGAAUGUGACAAGUAGCGGUGAAAUGCAUAGAUAUGUCACAGAACACCAAUUGCGAAGGCAGCUUACUAUGGUGUGAUUGACGCUGAGGCACGAAAGCGUGGGGAUCAAACAG
rnacentral:rRNA from 1 species